UGCAAGUCGAACGGUGAAGGAGAGCUUGCUCUCUGGAUCAGUGGCGAACGGGUGAGUAACACGUGAGCAAUCUGCCCCUGACUCUGGGAUAACAGUUGGAAACAGCUGCUAAUACCGGAUACGAGCUUCGAAGGCAUCUUCAGAAGCUGGAAAGAACUUCGGUCAGGGAUGAGCUCGCGGCCUAUCAGCUAGUUGGUGAGGUAAUGGCUCACCAAGGCGUCGACGGGUAGCCGGCCUGAGAGGGUGACCGGCCACACUGGGACUGAGACACGGCCCAGACUCCUACGGGAGGCAGCAGUGGGGAAUAUUGCACAAUGGGCGCAAGCCUGAUGCAGCAACGCCGCGUGAGGGACGACGGCCUUCGGGUUGUAAACCUCUUUUAGCAGGGAAGAAGCGAAAGUGACGGUACCUGCAGAAAAAGCGCCGGCUAACUACGUGCCAGCAGCCGCGGUAAUACGUAGGGCGCAAGCGUUAUCCGGAAUUAUUGGGCGUAAAGAGCUCGUAGGCGGUUUGUCGCGUCUGCUGUGAAAACUGGAGGCUCAACCUCCAGCCUGCAGUGGGUACGGGCAGACUAGAGUGCGGUAGGGGAGAUUGGAAUUCCUGGUGUAGCGGUGGAAUGCGCAGAUAUCAGGAGGAACACCGAUGGCGAAGGCAGAUCUCUGGGCCGUAACUGACGCUGAGGAGCGAAAGGGUGGGGAGCAAACAGGCUUAGAUACCCUGGUAGUCCAC
rnacentral:rRNA from 1 species